AUUGAACGCUGGCGGCAUGCCUUACACAUGCAAGUCGAACGGCAGCACGGGGGCAACCCUGGUGGCGAGUGGCGAACGGGUGAGUAAUGCAUCGGAACGUGCCCAGUAGUGGGGGAUAACUAGUCGAAAGAUUAGCUAAUACCGCAUACGACCUAUGGGUGAAAGCGGGGAUUCGCAAGAACCUCGCGCUAUCGGAGCGGCCGAUGUCUGAUUAGCUAGUUGGCGGGGAAAAGCCCACCAAGGCUUCGAUCAGUAGCUGGUCUGAGAGGACGACCAGCCACACUGGGACUGAGACACGGCCCAGACUCCUACGGGAGGCAGCAGUGGGGAAUUUUGGACAAUGGGCGCAAGCCUGAUCCAGCCAUGCCGCGUGCGGGAAGAAGGCCUCGG
rnacentral:rRNA from 1 species